UUUUUAAAGCACCUUAUACCCUUCAACAGAUUUAUUCACAUAAUUUUUUUAGGAUAGUUGAAAGAUAUGGGUCAGUUCAUUACAUGCAUACUCCACAUCAAGGAGUAUCUUAGUCUAUGAUGUUUCAUGAUUAAUGAUUAACAGAAUCAAAUUAUAUAAUCUAGAAAUAUUUCUUCAUGUGUUGAAAUUAAACGGUGUUGAUAUGAAACGCAGCCCUCAUGUUUAAAAUGAAGGUAAACCAAAGAUGUAUACUUGUAAAAUUUGUAUAGGCUACUUCGGUAUUCCGGAGGAAGAACAACCAGCUUGUACAGGCUGCCAACUGUUAGAUUAUGUUGUUUUGCAAUGGGAAGGCAUGUCAUUUCUUCUUCCCUUCCCAUACCUGCUGCCAUUUUUGUAGUGUAUCAUAUUUCUAACCUCCUCAUCAAUCUGAUAGUGUGUCUGUGUGUGCAUGCACGCAUGUGGUUUCCUACAAAGGUUCAGUGUCUUAUUAAAGAAGUAAUUAUCAAGUUGCAGCAUCAGAAGUGUUACUUUAUCAACUGAUUCAUUCUUAUCUCCUACAGUUUUCACUGUAAAAAUGAUGGGAAAUAGAAUCAUGCUUGUGAGUCAUUUUUGUGGUCUAGAUGACAGAAGUAAUUCUGACUCUGCUUUUUGUGGCUUUCUGCAGACUAUACAAUACAUACCUUUAUAUAUAGAGAAAAAGAACUGUUUAAUGUUGAACAGAAAUGUUUUCUGAAUACAUGUACUGGUUCAUUCCACUUGUUCCAUAAAACAAAGAUGAUUCUUAAUAGGUUGAUUGGUUGUAUUCCUGUAACACUAACAAUGUUGGUGUGUGUUUGUAAUUGACUUACAGGUUGUAGAAAACAGUUCAGCUGUAUAGAAUUCUUCUAUAUUGUAUUACUUGCUUUUCCUCACAGUCUGUUUUAGUGCUAGGUAAACAUUUAAUUCUUAAAGCAAUCACCGUGUGAGGCCACAAAAGUAAAUAUAAAAUUUGUCGAUUUAACGCAGGUGAGAUUUCAAGUUCUCACGAUGGCAAUGAUUAAGAUGACUGUCUGAUGGGAUGUUGUACCGUGUAGUCUCGGACUACAGAAGCAGUGUGACAUCCCAGAACACAGUAAUCUUCAACAGAAAUAUAUAUUCAUAAGAUUGUUACAAUGAAUGAUCUCAUUAUUUCAGUACAGUAUAAUAUAAGAAAAUCCUGAAAAGUAAAUGGGAUAUUUUCCUUGCAUUUAAAUUACUUCACAAGGUGUGUGUUAGAGUUUAUUCAAAUUUAAUGUUGCAUGCAUCAUUAUAUAACAAAGGUCCAUAAAUGGUGUUUUCAAAAUCAAAUUAUCCCCCUGAUAUUCAAGAUUACUACAGUAACCUCAUAUUAGAAGUGGAAAAAAAUGUUCUGAAGUUAAUGCCAUUUUUAGCCAGGUAUCCUAACCUGUGUUGGAAGUAAGUGGUCAGAUGUUAUCCCGAAUGAGUAUCCCUACUGGCCCUUCAUGCAUAUGCUUUUCAGGUGUUUGAAGCGAUAGUGAUUUUUUGGUAAAAUUUGUUAAUCUAUGUAUGAUCAGGACUGCUAUAAGGCAUUGAUCAGCCCUAGGCAGUAUAUCUCAUUAGCUCUAGUCCAUUUCUUAUAAAUGUCUAGCAGCAUAAUUUAUUACACCUUUUUAUAUGAGAAUAGCAUUCUACAUAUAUUUAGUGACAUACUUUUUCAAUGUCUUGGCCUUUAUUGUAACAAGAUUGGAAAGGUAUACUUCUUUGACUAUACUGACAUUCAAAAGGUAUACUUUAUACCAGAUUAUGCAUGUUGUUACACAAAAGUUCUCUGAGAUCACUGUUGAGUAACAAUGUGUUCCAAGUGUUCUUAGAGGUCAUCAUGCUGAUGUGAUCCAAGGUCAUUGUUGAUUAAGUGUUUUUCAAUAAUGGUGUUAGGUCAUUAUUGCACUGAUAGGCCAAGGUUAUUUUGCAGCCAAGUGUUCCAGCAAUGGGACUGGUUCCCGUUGGGCAACAGUGACUCCUGGUCACACAGGUUGCCUUCCUCCUAGGAAAUCACAGCAGUUAGACUUACAGUCAUGGAUGGGCCAAUAAGGUGUUCUUCCCUCACACCAGCUCUUGAGGAAUGCUUAAUAAUUGCUUCUGAUAAUUAAUUGAAACUAGUCUGGUCACUAAAUGAUUGAGAUUUCUCGAUAAGCUCUUUCUGCUUAGCAGUUCUGUUACAAAUAUUAACAGUAAUUGCUCAUAGCUUCAGUUUUGAUUUUGCCAAGAGUUUUAAUGUGUGAGUGUGAGAUGUUUGUAUAUGAGCGCAGCAGAAUGUGUGUCAGCUAGUGUAGUGUAGCUUUCUUACCAAGCAAGCUAGUUACCAAAGAGAGCUCAGAGCACUUUUUUAACAAUAGCAUCUGUUUCAUGUUGUAAAUGAUUGUGGGCUUGGCAUCAAGCAUGUUGUGUUGUGUUGUGUUGUACAACUGUGGUUGCAUAAACAAUUAUUUUAAAUUCCCCUUUUGUACAUAUUAUCUUUGGUGAAAACAGACCGCUUUUGAUAAUGCAGUUAUGUAUACAGCUAGGUCAUUUCUCUUCUAGCAUUGAUAUGAAAAAAAAUACUGAACUACAAGUUUGGUGAAUUGUCAUGUAUAUAUUGCAAUUUCUUUCAUGGGCAAAUUUAAUUUAAAAAUGUUCUUUUUUUAAUUAAUGUGUGAUUUUUAUUCCAUGACAUGUUUAUUUUGUGACUGAAACUUCAGAUAGAUGAGUUUAAGCCUUUCACAGCUUUUUAGGUUACAAGAAUCCAUGCUAAGCACAAAAUUGCUGAAGGUCAAGCAUCACUUCUCAUACAUUUAUAUUUUGUAAGUUUUCUUAUAAUCUUCCAUUUUAUGCCUUAUGAUAAAAGCUGAUAAAAUAAUAUGUCAGUGCAAUGUAAUUUUCUGAGUUUCUUUUAUAUGUACUGUAAUGAUAUGAUAAAUACAGUUCAUAACAACUGUGACCUGAUUCUUCAUUGGGAGUCAAAAGAGUAGAUAUAAUCAGUUUUGUUUCUGGUGUUAAUCAUGUAUUAAUAAUAUACAUCAGCACUAAACUAUAAGAGAUGGGGGCAGUGUGGCUUAAUUUCUGAGACUCCAAGUUGUACAGUCCUGAUGGAAAUUAUAACUUUAUUGCUCAGAAGUCUCAUUAUUUUAUUUAUUACCCCAGUUAUUUGUGUGUGGUCUCUAUUAAGGUAUUUGAAAAGUUGUGUCUAAAUUAAAAAGGUAUUAGGGGUUAAAGUUGUUGGUUGAAAUUUGUGGUCUCCAGUCACUGUUUGCGAAUUAUUUGAAGCAAUAAUAUCUUGAGUUUUGUUUGUCUCGGACUGAAGAGAUGUGUCGUCCGAUCUACUUGGUCUUAAUUAGUUUAAUUAUUUGUAUUUUAGGGGGAGGAUUGUUUUUGUUGAAUGAAAGUGCUUUUUUGUUAUGUCUGGAGAUGAGUGAUGUUAGAGUACUGUUGACAACAGAUGUGUGGAAUAUUUAGCAACCAGACUGGAUAUCUCCACUCCUUGUUUUAGAUAAGCUCAAGCAUCCAGCACAUCUUCAUUUUACAGUCUAUUCCACUAUACAUCCAGGUCAUUAAAAUUUGAUUUCAUAUCCUUACAAGUGUAGUGAUUGUCACGUGUUCUCAUAGUUAACAUGGUUUGGAGUAUAAUACCUGAAAUCUGCAGCCUAGUAGUAGGUUUUUCAUUAUUUCACUUUAAGACAGCCAUCUUCAGACCCACCACUGUAAACCUCAAAUCCUAUAUCUUUAAAGGAAAUACUGGAAAUUUAAACUGAUCAUAGCUAAUUGUAUAUGCUGGCUGGAUUUGUGCAAUUAUGAUGUACUUUGUUGAGUGAAUAGAGAUUCUUUAAGGUGGAUAGUCCUUGAAUCUAAAAACUGUCAUGCUGCCUUAAUGCCAUGCAUAGGUGAACAUGUCAUAUUUUACUUGAGGAAGAUAUAGACCUGGAAAGUAUUUGGACUGGAUUGAAUUUGUGGAGGAUCUUGAAUUGUGUUAGUUUCUCUUUGAUAUAUUACUGAAACUUCUUUGAUCAAAAGAUGUGCCAUUUUUAAUUUGAUUUUUUUGACUGUUAUACUACUUAAUGGUUUAUAUAUAGGUAAUUUAAUGUUUUGGUUUGCAUUAUAUAACUGUAGGAUUAAUUAUGUUCUUGAAUUAUUUGUAGCCAGUCUAAUACUAAACUUAAUUUUAUUAGUUUUAUUAUUAAAUUGAAUUUGUUUUGGCAGUAAUCUUUCAGCUAACUUAUUGGCCAGUAUGUUUUACUCAUGUUAUUGUCUUAUCGGUAUUAAUUUAUCACAUACUAUGUAAUUGGGUCUGAGUUUUAAACCUUUUGUUUAUGUAAUGUAAUGUACUUUGAAGUGACUGCAAAAAGAUGAUUAAUCCAAUCAUAGUAUGAAUUAUAUGUUCAGUUUACUUACUUGAGUGCAUUAUCAAUGCAAUCUGGAGUCAUGUAUUGUAAGCCAGAAGGACUAUUUUUUUUCCUUGGCAUUUUGUGAAAAGUGCUAUAUCAAACAUGAAUUUAAAUCACAAUGUCAGAUAGGUAAUUUGUAAACAUACUACUUUUCUUAACUAUAACUGUCAACAUUAUUAAAUAUUGUAUGUCAAAAAGAA